CUACGGGCGGCAGCAGUGGGGAAUAUUGGACAAUGGGCGCAAGCCUGAUCCAGCAAUGCCGCGUGUGUGAAGAAGGCCUUCGGGUUGUAAAGCACUUUUGUUAGGGAGGAAAGUCUGGUAGCUAAUAACUGCUAGAUAUGACGUUACCUAAAGAAUCAGCGCCGGCUAACUCUGUGCCAGCAGCCGCGGUAAUACAGAGGGUGCAAGCGUUAAUCGGAAUUACUGGGCGUAAAGGGUCUGUAGGAGGAUUAUUAAGUCGGAUGUGAAAUCCCCGGGCUCAACCUGGGAACGGCAUUCGAUACUGGUAGUCUAGAGUGUGCAAGAGGAUGGGGGAAUUCCUGGUGUAGCAGUGAAAUGCGUAGAGAUCAGGAGGAACAUCAAUGGCGAAGGCACCUUUCUGGGGCAACACUGACGCUGAGAGACGAAAGCGUGGGGAGCAAACAGGAUUAGAUACCCGGGUAGUC
rnacentral:rRNA from 1 species